UUGUGAGCCAGAUCAAAACCCUGUCCUGGGGAGACAAUUGGGUAUGUCCAGGUGCAGUUGUUCAAUGUGAUUUAGUCCCUACCAGGAGGUCUGGUUGCCUGGGUUCAGAACAGCAGAGGAAAAAUUAGACAAAAGACACAUUCAGAAGUCAAGGUGCUCUGACAGUUCAGCAGACAUAUGACCUAACUUCAACCAGCAGACAGGAUCUGACCUAGGAAAGAUGAAGACAAAAACCAGAUCUCAAACAGAUGUAUUGUAGUUCAAGAUUUUCUAUGCAGGUACAGUCACAUUUAUGUCUUUUAAUAAUAGAGUUCAUCCAUCAUACAAGAUUGAUGAUCCCUGCAGAAGUUAAAAGUCUAGGAAUAAGAAAUUUGCACUUUAAAGAAGUCUUUCCUUUGUCUUACGGCUUCCAGAAUUCCUGAUGAGGAGUCUGCUAUCAAUCUUAUCUUGUGGCUUUGAAGUGAUAAUGUCAUUCUCACCUGUAAUCCCAGCACUUUGGGAGGCUGAGGCC
rnacentral:lncRNA from 1 species